CUUCAACAGCACUCACUUCCCCUGUCUUGAUGAGAUGAUGCUGCACCAUGAAUACUGGCUUUCAAUGACUUUCUCAAAAGUUGUUGCUGUGCUUCAUUGUUGAUGACCAAAAAUGCAAGUCUUAUCCAGAGUAUGCAAGAAAAUGUGAACAAUAAUUUGUUUUCUGAUUAUGUUGAAUUUACUGUUUAUAAUCUGAACAUAGAGCAUGUCUUCCAACUCUAUCUUCUCUUAAACUCUAUGCUGUAAUUACUACAUUCCUAGACAGUGAUUCUUUUCAUGUUAACUGCACUCCUGCCUUCCACUCACUGCCACCAGUGGAGAGGACUAAAUGAAUGAGAAGAGCAGCCUCAUUGGCACAAGGAACAUCUCUCAUCAGGAAUGGCUUCAACUGAUCCAGGAGUGCUUGAUAUCCCCACAUCUGUGGAGGCAGGGGAGGACAUCAAUUGGAAAAGCCCCUUGCUGUUUCAGAGCAAAGAUCUUGAAAGCACCAGGUAGAGAAAGAUGUAGCCAUUGUCAAAAGACUGCCUGUUAGAUGAAUGGGACAGUGGGAUGACCACCCUGGGUUCAGUGGUAAAGUCAAAUGGAGUAAAGGAUGCCUGUUGCCACCCCAGCUGCACUUGGGUGCUGAAGAUCAGAAGUGAAACUACAGAACAAAUCCAGAUGAGAGCUCACCUAGGGGCUCACACAUAUAGUUCAGGCCAAGGUUCAGUGAUGGACCAUCAUCAGUACUCAGAGCACUGAACUUGUCCUGGGUGUGAUGUAUUUGAGAGUCACUUAAAAUCAUCAUAUCGCUGCCAUUUUGGCCACCCAAUCUCAUAGGAUUCUGUGAAAUAAAUAUGGCACUGGGCAGCAGGAGCAAUUCACUUGUCAGGAAUCCCUCCUGGAAUCAGGGCUUGGCCAAGGACUUCAAGCCAACCACCCAAGGCAUGAAUCCCAGAACUCCUGGGGGCAUCUGGCAACUUCAUGUGCAGAAUAUAUCUUCUCUGACCUAGUGUGGCUGAUGAUGAGAGGUCUGAUGCUGGUUGAAGUUCUUGGUUUUCACAGGUAUCUUUUACAUUUCUA
rnacentral:lncRNA from 10 species